CCUGCCUACUGCUGGCAAACUCCGUGGCCUCCAACUUAUUUGAAUUCUCGAAGAGAAGCCCAGUGGAUACUUGGACCUGCUGGAGGAGAGACAAAUCCAAGCCCGGAUGGCCGUGGAAGACAGUCAGUCAGUUCAAGAGUGCCCAGCGAGCCCUGUUCCCACAGAGAGCUACUUUUGCUGGUUGGCCAGGGAAAAGGCUUUUGUUAAAAACUCUUCCCUCUCUUAUAUACUCCCACAAACAAGUGCAGCUCCCCAACUAGACACGUCCAGACACGAUGGCUUUUGUGUUCUAAGAUGAUCAGACACCAUUGCUUCCACUAGGAUGGCGCUGUGCCCCACUGGAGAGUGAGAUCUGGGGUGAGCAACAGUCACAGAAACGGCAGGUUUCUGCCGGGUGUAGCAAUGCCAGGACAACCCGAGGCAUGUGGCACAGGGGCCAGGCAGGAUGGGAGAGGCGGCUGGCUCCUGGCUGGUCGAAUGUUCUCUGAGCCCAAAGCACAGCCUGUCUUUGGUGGGUGACAAGCAGAGACCUCUUCAGGCAGUUAGGACACUGCAGAACCCCUGGACUAGUAGGUGUUGUAUGUUCUCCAGCCCCCACCCCAAAUUCCUUCCCUCUUUGCCAGCUGAAGGCUUAUCAUUAACCAGUUACCUAGGCAACCCUAGUCAACCUGGACACUGUCAUUGGGAGGAGCAAGGGCCAAGAGGCCCUUGCAUCUGUUCUGACAGCAUUCUCGACCCUUCCCAGCUUUUUAGCCUUGCUCACAGCCAAGUAAGUGGUGGUGUUGAGGAUCCUGAAGAGGCUGCCUGUGCCUCUGGUUCCUGGAGCUGGACACGGACACGACGAUGGGAUCCUCUGGCUCUUCCCUGUCCAGCUUUCUGCCUGAGCCUUUCCCCACCUCUCUUCUUCUUUCUUAAUUCUGAAUGAAGCUGCAGGGCUUCAGACAUAUUGAGUCGGGCAACCCAUUUCUCUUGGGAGAAGUCUGGAGGCUCCUCUUUCCUGUCCAAAGCUAGGCCCUGGUUCCCAUCCCCUUUGUACCAUGGAGGGCACUGCCUCUGGCAGCUCUGGCUCGGCUGGCAGGAGAGCUCUGGAAGGUCAGAGGGGGGCAUCUUUCCCUUUCACAAAUAAUCAAAUGCAGCCCAUGUGCUGGAGGACUUGGGUGUAUUAAUAGCAGAUGUUUUGUUUUCCUUCCCCAGUGCUUGUCCCUGCGCUAGCACAGACGAUAAGAACUCACAGUGUUCUCCACCAGCCACCCUUCUGCCCUCCCCCCGGAGAGGCAAGACAGGGGCAUGCGUGCUCCUCUGUUUAAAGCCAUCGCUGAUGUACAAACUCUGAGAAAAUAGACUUAAAAGUUUAUAUUCAGUCUCUCUUGGCUACUGUUGCUGCUCAGCAAAGAAACUCUAUAUUGUUUAAAGCCUCCAGGCAAACGGGUUGCAAGGCAACCUUCAAACAAUAGAAAAUACCCCAAACUAAAAAUAAGAGCAAGAAGGCUUGGGAAGCAUGAUGGUGGGGUUUUGGUGAAGUGGCCUUGCAGUUGAGGCAAAGGACACCCAGGUCACAUCAGCAUGCGAGCCAUUAUGCCCUUAUUGAGGCUUUUACAGCCAGAUCCUGGAAUCUGACUUCAGGAGAGAUGCUAAUAGACUCCCCAGAGUCACUGCCAAGGACUAUGCUGCCUAAGACUGAAUAGCCGCUCAGCCUCUGCUACCAGAGCAACCAGCACCCACAGCCGGGCAUAGAGACGGAGCUGCUCAGCUCAAGGCUACCAGUCUGCUGACCUUUACAGAGACAGGCUCUUCGGGAACACUCUCACUUUUGACUCUCACCAAAGGAUGCCCCUUUGCUUCCUGUAAAAACAAGAGGAUGGAAUAACUUGAUUUCAAAUAACACUGUUCUAGCCUAGGCAAGAAAAAUAAACUAACAAGUGUUGGCAGCCUGGGUUUGUG
rnacentral:lncRNA from 1 species